rnacentral:lncRNA from 1 species
CUGAUUCGGCUUUGGCCUUUGCUAAUCCGCGCAAUAUAAUAAUCGCGAGGGGAGGGAGGGAGCCCGAACGACCAAAGCAAACCAAACCAAAGCCGGGAGAGAAGAGAAAUCGGCCGGUCUCCCCUCGCUGGACUAACCAGAGAGCAGAGAGCAUCAGAGCACAGCGCAGAGCCAAGACAGCAGCUUCAUCGCCGCCGGUGGUUGGCUUCCUGCCGCUCCCUCCCUGCUAUUGGUGUUGGUUUGUCGCGCGGCUGGCCGGGGGUGAGGAGGGUCGGAGGGGGCGAAGCAUGGACGGAUCCGCCGCGGCGGAGCUGGAGAGGGCGGAGAGGGUGGUGAUGCGGUGGGACUCCACGGCGUCCGCGCCCGCGGGGGGCGGGGAGGACCAGAUGCUGUUCGACGGNNNNN